UCUUCAAAUCUUCGCUCAAAAAAGAUAAAAGCAAGAAAAGAAAAAGCAAGUAUAAUUCGUAUAAAAUUACUUCUUGUCUAUGAAAAACCACUAAAUCUGUUUGUAACAGCUCUGUGGCAGAUUUGUGCCCGGCAAAGCAUCCUCGUAGCAUUUAUAUGAAAUAAUGACGUCAAACGUAACCACGCUAAUCGUACAAUGACGUUCUAUGGCAAGUGAUAACCAACCUGGUAAACCAGUAACAUCGAUGCAUCCUCGAGUACGUGUUUUUUUAAAAACAGGAAUCCACCAAACGGGGGUGAAACGUGACGUUGACUAAGAGGCAUGCUCACGUCAAUCCUGAUCAAACAGUGGCAAUUCUUCGUCGUUUGUCUCACCUGCUACGUAGAAAAGUGUUUGAUGUUCAAUUAACGAUCGCUGAUUGUGCUGCACUAUGAUUCAUUUUACGCGGAAGUUGAUUACACGCCAUGGCUAUGAAAUUACGCAACAAACCACUAGAAGAAUUUGUGCCUCAACGAUACACACUUUAUUCAGUAGAAGAACGUGGUUCAUUUAUACGUAUCAAAUGAUCGUUUACUAGAUGGGAAAUUACGAGCCUCUUGUGGAGCCAUGUAAAAUGAGAUUAGAGAUUCAGAGUACCAGUUCCAUGGAACUAAAAGUAAAAGAUUGGUCUGAUUCGGCCUCCUCGUUCACGGUUUCGCUGCUUUCGGUAGUAGUUUCACUUUUAGAUCUGAAAGAAAUCACCAGAUGAGGGUAUUUCGUGGCUGCUGGGAAGACAAGUACGAGAAAUAAAGAAAACAAGCACAAGGCAAAACGGAUUAGUAAUAGACCAGAUCUGUUAGAGACACGAGGAUUGAGUUAGAUCUGUUAGUAUAUGGGAAUUGGUCGACUCGAUUUCACUCAUACCAAUCUUCCCGGAUGGAAUUGUUAGGUGAAACAUUCUGUUGAGGGAACCGUUCGACAGGUUUCGGAACGAGAAUGCUCGGUGAACGUGUGAUGAACGCCUUCAUCACGAUUGAUCAUUAACGACGAAAGACACUAAACUAAUCUGAAAGGAAUUUUAAUCUUCGGUUAACUCGUCGAUUACAACUGUUAUAAAUAAACUACGGAUGCAUAUUUCAUAUUUUUGUAAUUAAAGAAAUGAAAUCUAGAUAAAAACUAGUUUUACCUACUAUAGA